CUACGGGGUGCUCCAGUGGGGAAUUUUGCGCAAUGGGCGAAAGCCUGACGCAGCAAUACCGCGUGAGUGAAGAAGGCCUUUGGGUCGUAAAGCUCUUUUCUGGGGGAAGAUAGUGACGGUACCCCAGGAAUAAGCACCGGCUAACUCCGUGCCAGCAGCCGCGGUAAUACGGAGGGUGCAAGCGUUGUUCGGAUUUACUGGGCGUAAAGGGCACGUAGGCGGCACAGCAAGUUAAGGGUGAAAUCCCGGGGCUCAACUCCGGAACUGCUCUUAAAACUGCUGAGCUAGAGAUGGUCAGAGGCGGGUAGAAUUCCUGGUGUAGAGGUGAAAUUCGUAGAUAUCAGGAGGAAUACCGGUGGCGAAGGCGGCCCGCUGGGGCCAUUCUGACGCUAAGGUGCGAAAGCGUGGGGAGCGAACGGGAUUAGAUACCCCAGUAGUC
rnacentral:rRNA from 1 species